GACGAACGCUGGCGGCGUGCUUAACACAUGCAAGUCGAACGGAAAGGCCCUGCUUUUGUGGGGUGCUCGAGUGGCGAACGGGUGAGUAACACGUGAGUAACCUGCCCUUGACUUUGGGAUAACUUCAGGAAACUGUGGCUCAUACCGGAUAGGAGCUCCUGCUGCAUGGUGGUGGUUGGCAUGUUUCGGCGGUUGGGGAUGGACUCGCGGCUUAUCAGCUUGUUGGUGGGGUAGUUGCUUACCAAGGCUUUGACGGGUAGCCGGCCUGGGCGGGGGACCGGCCACAUUGGGACUUGGAUACGGGCCAGACUCCUACGGGAGGCAGGAGGGGGGAAUAAUGCAAAAUGGGCGGAAGCCUGAUGCAGCAACGGCGCGUGGGGGAUGACGGCCUUCGGGUUGUAAACCGCUUUCGGCUGGGACGAAGCGUGAGUGACGGUAAUGGGUAAAGAAGCACCGGCUAACUACGUG
rnacentral:rRNA from 1 species